rnacentral:sRNA from 1 species
AACGAAAGAUGGCGGCGGAAACGCUGCUGUCCAGUUUGUUAGGACUGCUGCUUCUGGGACUCCUGUUACCCGCAAGUCUGACCGGCGGUGUCGGGAGCCUGAACCUGGAGGAGCUGAGUGAGAUGCGUUAUGGGAUCGAGAUCCUGCCGUUGCCUGUCAUGGGAGGGCAGAGCCAAUCUUCGGACGUGGUGAUUGUCUCCUCUAAGUACAAACAGCGCUAUGAGUGUCGCCUGCCAGCUGGAGCUAUUCACUUCCAGCGUGAAAGGGAGGAGGAAACACCUGCUUACCAAGGGCCUGGGAUCCCUGAGUUGUUGAGCCCAAUGAGAGAUGCUCCCUGCUUGCUGAAGACAAAGGACUGGUGGACAUAUGAAUUCUGUUAUGGACGCCACAUCCAGCAAUACCACAUGGAAGGUAACUCACUCCUAUAUUUUCCUUAAGCCCUUAGUGUCAUAUCAUGGAAGUUCCCCAGUUCCCUCCUCCUCCUCCUCCUCUUAAGAGUAACAGUGCUUCACUGUGGCUUCCCUUGCAGAUUCAGAGAUCAAAGGUGAAGUCCUCUAUCUCGGC